ensembl:lncRNA PVT1 Pvt1 oncogene
GUCCUGUGGUCAUAGCGAAUCUUUCUAAAGCUCUGAUCAGUCAAGAAGGGGGUUGUAUCAAUCCUCAGAACCCUGAGUGGAACUUUCUACAGGAUUUAUUAGGAGAAAAACCUUCCCGGAAGCUGCAGAAGGACAAAUACAGAAUCCGUGUCUGGGAGAAACCUCGUGGCCUGGUCUCCAUUAUUUGAGAUGAGUUACAUCUUGGAGGCCUGAUCUUUUGGCCAGAAGGAGAUUAAAAAGAUGCCCCUCAAGAUGGCUGUGCCUGUCAGCUGCAUGGAGCUUCGUUCAAGUAUUUUCUGAGCCUGAUGGAUUUACAGUGAUCUUCAGUGGUCUGGGGAAUAACGCUGGUGGAACCAUGCACUGGAAUGACACACGCCCGGCACAUUUCAGGAUACUAAAAGUGGUUUUAAGGGAGGCUGUGGCUGAAUGCCUCAUGGAUUCUUACAGCUUGGAUGUCCAUGGGGGACGAAGGACUGCAGCUGGCUGAGAGGGUUGAGAUCUCUGUUUACUUAGAUCUCUGCCAACUUCCUUUGGGUCUCCCUAUGGAAUGUAAGACCCCGACUCUUCCUGGUGAAGCAUCUGAUGCACGUUCCAUCCGGCGCUCAGCUGGGCUUGAGCUGACCAUACUCCCUGGAGCCUUCUCCCGAGGUGCGCGGGUGACCUUGGCACAUACAGCCAUCAUGAUGGUACUUUAAGUGGAGGCUGAAUCAUCUCCCCUUUGAGCUGCUUGGCACGUGGCUCCCUUGGUGUUCCCCUUUUACUGCCAGGACACUGAGAUUUGGAGAGAAUCCUGUUACACCUGGGAUUUAGGCACUUUCAAUCUGAAAAAAUACAUAUCCUUUCAGCACUCUGGACGGACUUGAGAACUGUCCUUACGUGACCUAAAGCUGGAGUAUUUUGAGAUUGGAGAAUUAAGGUAAGCGACUUUAUCUUCCUGAUCCUUGUGAAACCAAAAAUAGCUUUUGGAGUUGACGACCUCCUGCAGCACAGCUUGGGUUGUGGUUCUUGACCUCUCGGUGUGUCUUCCUGUGCCGCUCCAAUGUGUUCGGGAAGCUGGCUCCCCAUAACCUCUCCCCGACCUGGUUCUCAGAGUCUAGUCCACUUAUUCAUUGUGCCUAGGAAGCUCUCCCUCUGUCCCUAGUGGAGGGAGGAGCCCACCAUCUCCUAGUGAAUGCGCCACUUGUAGCAGAAGGUGCAGGAUGCUCCAGCUGUCUUGUGAAAACAUGUGGAGACAGCCUUGGGGAAAAGAGGAAAAGGUGAGGUGAGGGUUAUAUAAUCAGAUUGAAACACCUUUGGGACAUCCAGAACAUGAGCUCUUCCUCCUUUCCCAGCCAAUCCGUGCUUCCUCCUUUCACCUCCUUGAAUUCUAUGCUCCUUCCACACUAAGGCUGAGGGUGCAGGAGGUAAAGGGUUAGAGGUUAAGACUGAGUGCUUCAGGUAGACUUGGGUUUUCUUGGUUUUGCUACUUGCCUCAUUUUGGACAAGUCACUCAGCCUCUCAAAGCCUUGGUCUCCUCAUUAGUAAAAUAGGGAUGGUAUUAGUGCCUGCCUCAUGAAGAUGUUGUUUGUGUUGAGUGAGAUAUUGGAGCAAAACAGCUUAGCAGGCUGCCUUGCACUGAGGAAGAAAUGCUCCAAAAGGGAAGAGAGUUUUUGCAAAUUAUUCCUCAAUUAUGCCAUUUAGAAUUCCUUCCAUGUAUCAGGCUAUUUUGAAGUCUUUCAUUUGCUGUCCCCCCAGCCUUUCACCUAUCACCAAGUCAGCCUGGGAAACAGCUGAGAAUCACCUUCCCAGUUGUGCCCAGCCCCUUACCCAAAGCAGAGUUGAUUCCCCCCUCCCCUGGACGGCAGCGGGCUAGUGAAGGCAUGUCUCCACUAUACCAUGGCUACUGCACUGGGUUGAAAUGUCCCUUGCCCCUUCCCCUGCCCAUUCCCCCUAUUGCUGGUGAAAUUGCUUAGAGCAAGGACUGUCUUACACAUCACAGGAUCUGGCAUAG